GAGUUUGAUUCUGGCUCAGGACGAACGCUGGCGGCGUGCCUAAUACAUGCAAGUCGAACGAACGGAGAAAGAAGCUUGCUUUUUUCAAAGUUAGUGGCGAACGGGUGAGUAACACGUGGGUAACCUGCCCAUCAGAGGGGGAUAACAUUCGGAAACGGAUGCUAAAACCGCAUAGGUUCCUUAGUUGCAUGACUGAGGAAGGAAAAGAGGCGUAAGCUUCUGCUGGUGGAUGGACCCGCGGUGCAUUAGCUAGUUGGUGAGGUAACGGCUCACCAAGGCGAUGAUGCAUAGCCGACCUGAGAGGGUGAUCGGCCACAUUGGGACUGAGACACGGCCCAAACUCCUACGGGAGGCAGCAGUAGGGAAUCUUCCGCAAUGGACGCAAGUCUGACGGAGCAACGCCGCGUGAGUGAAGAAGGUUUUCGGAUCGUAAAACUCUGUUGUUAGAGAAGAAUAAGCAUAAUAGUAACUGAUUAUGCCGUGA
rnacentral:rRNA from 1 species